UGCGCAGCGCGUGCUUGACCACGACGCUGCCGAAGGAAAGGCCCUUCAGCCGUGCGGUGCGGAUAUAUUGCUGCGUCAUCACCUCGACCAUCGAGGCGCGUGUCAUGCGCGCGAUAUAGCCGAUGCCGUAGAUCGCCAGCGUCAUCACCGGCAGCGUGAAAUUGUAGAAGGUGAUGCCUUG
rfam:Mesorhizobium amorphae CCNWGS0123 contig00126, whole genome shotgun sequence.